CAGCUUCUCCCUCACCACAAUCAAUUAUUAAAUCUAUCAAUCAAUCUAUCAAUCAACCAACCAAUCAAUCAUCCUCCAGUUUCAGUCGCCUGGAUCCAGAGUGAAGAGACAACUCGUCAGGACGUUUCAGUCGACUGGAUCCAGAGACAACUCGUCAGGACGUUUCAGUCGACUGGAUCCAGAGACAACUCGUCAGGACGUUUCAGUCGACUGGAUCCAGAGACAACUCGUCAGGACGUUUCAGUCGACUGGAUCCAGAGUGUAGAGACAACUCGUCAGGACGUUUCAGUCGCCUGGAUCCAGAGUGUAGACACAACUCGUCAGGACGUUUCAGCGUGGAAACCCCCGAGCGGGUCAUGUCAUGACGGACCAACCAAUCAGGGACCAUAGUUUGACACUGCCUCGUUCAGACUCUCCCACCGACAACCAACCAAUCGUAUGUCGUCACCGUGGGGGCAGAGUGAAACAUUGAGGAGCGGUGAGGCUGUAAGUGAGGAUGUGGUAUAGGCUCUGGUCAAAAGUAGUGCACUAUAUGGGGAAUAGGGUUCUAGUCAAAAGUAGUGCACUAUGUAGGGAAUAGGGUGCUAUUUGGUACAGAACCAGAACCAUGAGUCAUCAGUACGAGACAAGAUGAAUCAGAACGGACAAGUGUGAUGGAGAGAGAGAACAUCUUCUUUAUAAAGGCACCUUAAAGAGCGAACGGCCCUCCUCCCCCCCCCCCCCCCCUUCUCCUUU
rnacentral:lncRNA from 8 species